GGCUCUGGGGGCAGAGCUGAGGAAACGUGUUUUGGGAUCAUGUGCCAUCACGGCUCCUGGAGGGGCAACAGUGAGGCGCCUCCACAGCCACGGGACGCGUCCAGGGGAAAUACAGUCUGCACCACGGACAGAGGAGCCUGGCAGGCUGCAGUCCAUGGGUCGCCAAAGGGUCGCACACGAUGGAGGAACUAACAGUGCAGAAUCGCCACCGUCGCCUUCUACAAGGGAGAUUCAACAUACAAGGAGCGUCCCUGGCAGCACCUGUUCAUCUGCUCCCCUGCCUCUGGGGAAAGGCAGCCAGCACUCAAGUCCCGGAGGGUCAGGUCCGGGAGGCAGGGGGCGAGCUCAGAGCAGCUGAAGCAUAGAGGGCUCACCUUGCUCAG